GACGUCUGUGCAAAUGCUGUUCAGCUCUCCGGGUCAUUCAGUAUUUGCGAGCAGUAAAUGAAAUUGUCCAAAUUUGUUUUCUCAUGAAAAUGUCAGCUGGAGCGCUUAAACCUGGAGGCAAGAUGUUACGUCUGGAACUCUAGGAUCCUCCUUCAUGUCUGCUGCUGGCUGUGUCAGGGCCAUGGCAGGAAGUUGCCAACACAGCCCAGAGUCCUGCAGAUACAACGUGGAGCGGCCUCAGAGAGGAGGAGAGCCUCCUUUUUGGAAUUUUUUGCUCUAUUUCAUCAGUGGAAUCAAGGAAGUGUCUUCCAACAUUUCUUUAGUUGUGUUCUCUAAGAUGCUGCAAAGGACAGAAAAACAUGUCCAGACGGGGCCACUCCUUUUUCCCAAGUCACUGAAUGGAGCCAACGUGGAGCACCAUAGCCAAACUGUCAGGACUUUGUCAUGUUCCAUUUUGCUGCCUUUUACUUCUUCGCCAUCUGAAGAUAAGCAGGUUGCCACCCUGGACCACACCUCUAACAGCAUCUCUGCAGUGGCGUGCUGGGUGAGGCAGAGAACAACUCUAGGAGGCAUUGUUGUCUGCAAAGGCAAAGACUUUUGUGGGGACCGUUUGUGGGUUCAACCUUCUCCACACGCUUGUGGUGUCAUACCAAUGGGCUCUGUGUAGCCUCUUCAGGGAUCCCCAGCUGUCUUUACUGCUCACAACUCUAUUAUCUUCUGAAGUCUUGCAGCUUAUAAAAUAGCUAUUUUGGCCAAAGCCGUACAAUAAAGAAUCAUAUUUGACUCUCA
rnacentral:lncRNA from 1 species